CAGAAAAUAGUUUAAGUGAGAAUCCUAGCUUUGGGAGUUAGGGAUGGGAGUUAGAGUCUCUCUUUUCUGG
rnacentral:tRNA from 1 species